rnacentral:rRNA from 1 species
AACGAACGCUGGCGGCAGGCUUAACACAUGCAAGUCGAACGCCCCGCAAGGGGAGUGGCAGACGGGUGAGUAACGCGUGGGAACGUGCCCUUCGCUUCAGGAUAGCCCCGGGAAACUGGGAGUAAUACUGGAUACGCCGUAUUGGGAAAGAUUUAUCGGCGAAGGAUCGGCCCGCGUUAGAUUAGGUAGUUGGCGGUGUAAUGGACCACCAAGCCUACGAUCUAUAGCUGGUCUGAGAGGAUGAUCAGCCACACUGGGACUGAGACACGGCCCAGACUCCUACGGGAGGCAGCAGUGGGGAAUCUUGGACAAUGGGCGCAAGCCUGAUCCAGCCAUGCCGCGUGAGUGAAGAAGGCCUUAGGGUUGUAAAACUCUUUCGCCGGAGAAGAUAAUGACGGUAUCCGGAGAAGAAGCCCCGGCUAACUUCGUGCCAGCCGCCGCCGUAAUAC